UACGUAGGCAGCAAGCGUUGUUCGGAGUUACUGGGCGUAAAGGGUGUGUAGGCGGUUUUCUAAGUCUGGUGUGAAAUCUCCCGGCUUAACUGGGAGGGUGCGGUGGAAACUGGGGUGCUUGAGUGUGGGAGAGGUAAGCGGAAUUCCUGGUGUAGCGGUGAAAUGCGUAGAUAUCAGGAGGAACACCGGUGGUGUAGACGGCUUACUGGACCACGACUGACACUGAGGCACGAAAGCGUGGGUAGCAAACAGG
rnacentral:rRNA from 1 species